rnacentral:rRNA from 1 species
UGGGGAAUAUUGGACAAUGGGCGAAAGCCUGAUCCAGCCAUGCCGCGUGUGUGAAGAAGGGCUUCGGAGUGUAAAGCACUUUAAGUUGGGAGGAAGGGCAGUAAGCGAAUACCUUGCUGUUUUGACGUUACCGACAGAAUAAGCACCGGCUAACUCUGUGCCAGCAGCCGCGGUAAUACAGAGGGUGCAAGCGUUAAUCGGAAUUACUGGGCGUAAAGCGCGCGUAGGUGGUUCGUUAAGUUGAAUGUGAAAGCCCCGGGCUCAACCUGGGAACUGCAUCCAAAACUGGCGAGCUAGAGUAGGGCAGAGGGUGGUGGAAUUUCCUGUGUAGCGGUGAAAUGCGUAGAUAUAGGAAGGAACACCAGUGGCGAAGGCGACCACCUGGGCUCAUACUGACACUGAGGUGCGAAAGCGUGGGGAGCAAACAGG